rnacentral:rRNA from 1 species
AGCGAACGCUGGCGACAGGCCUAACACAUGCAAGUCGAACGGAGUGGCGGACGGGUGAGUAACACGUGGGAACGUGCCCUUUGGUUCGGAACAACUCAGGGAAACUUGAGCUAAUACCGGAUGCCAUUGGAGCGGCCCGCGUCUGAUUAGCUAGUUGGUGAGGUAAAGGCUCACCAAGGCGCCGAUCAGUAGCUGGUCUGAGAGGAUGAUCAGCCACAUUGGGACUGAGACACGGCCCAAACGCCUACGGGAGGCAGCAGUGGGGAAUCUUGCGCAAUGGGCGAAAGACGGACGCAGCCAUGCCGCGGGAAUGAUGAAGGUCUUAGGAUUGGAAAAUUCUUUCACCGGGGACUCGGUACCCGGAGAAGAAGCCCCGGCUAACUUCGUGCCAGCAGCCGCGGUAAUAC